CCGGAAGUGUUUCUGUGGCCAUCUUGAACAGAUCGCAAGCUAAAUCAUCCAUCUUAGGAGGUACAGACUACAGGGGGCCGUGGCUUCCUCUUAACCGCGGCAGCUGCUGAUAAAUACUGUACUAUUAACAGUGAGGCCCGGCGUAAUUUCCUUAUUAGAGGGCUUCUUUACGUCUCUUCAUCCCAAACUGGGAAAUGAGUCUCACCCUGAUGUCCAGGCUGGAGUGCAAUCACUCAGUCUCGGCUCACUGCAACCUCCACCUCCUGGGUUCAGAUGCUGUUGACUGGGGCAAAGAAUAAUGGGAGAAAAACAGCUGGGUCCUAAAUAACAGAGGGAAACCAACUUUCAAUAAAGUAUUCAACAACUAAUCCACAAAGCAGAUAACUGAAGUAAUUUAGUAUAUGUAAUUACAUCUUUUUUUUUUUUUUUUUUGAGGCGGAUUCUUGCUCUGUUACCCAGGCUGGAGUACAAUGGCACAAUCUCAGCUCAUUGCAACCUCUGCCUCCCAGGUUCAAGCAAUUCUCCUGCCUCGGCCUCCCGAGUAGCUGGGAUUACAGGCGCCCACCACUGCGCCCAGCUAACUUUUGUAUUUUUAGUAGAGAUGGGGUUUUGCCAUGUUAGCCAGGCUGGUUUCAAACUCCUGGCCUCAGAUGAUCCGCCUGCCUCAGCCUCCCAAAGUGCUGGGAUUACAGGCAUGAGCCACUGCACCUGGCCUGUAAUUACAUCUUAAUUAAAUGCAAAUAGAACAGAUACUUGGUCUGACUAUUAAUGAAUUUGUGGAGAGGAAGGAAGAUGGCGGUGUUAAUUUCUAAGAUGUAAUUAAAUUAAGUCAACUUGGGUUCUAAUCUUGGCGUGACCAAUUACUAGCUAUAUCAUGUUAAGCAACAUUCCACUUCUGUGUUUUUAGUCUCCUCAUCUGUAAAAUAGGGGUAAUAAUAGUACUUACACCUCAUAAGAUUGUUGUGAUGAUCAAAUGAGGUAAAAUGCAUAUAAAUCCCCUAGAACAGUCCCUGCCACAAGGUAAAUACUCAAUUAGGAUUAAUUAUGGUUAUUCUUCUUUUUUGAGAUGGAGUCUCACUCUGUCGCCCAGGCUGGAGUACAGUGGCGCAAUCUCGGCUCACUACAAACUCCGUCUCCCGGGUUCAAGCCAUUCUCCUGCCUCAGCCUCCCAAGCAGCUGGGACUACAGACGCCCCCCACCAUGCCCGGCUAUUUUUUUUUUAUUUUUUGUAGAGACGGGGUUUCACCGUGUUAGCCAGGAUGGUCUCGAUCUCCUAACCUCGUGAUCUGCCCGCCUCGGCCUCCCAAAGUGCUGGGAUUACAGGCGUGAGACACCGCGUCUGGCUAAUUAUGGUUAUUCUUAUCAUCAUCAUUUGAAAGAACAGUUGUAAAUAAAGAGAGUAAAUAAAUUAUCCUCCUUGUUCCUAAAAAGACGUUUUGUUAUAAAAGUCUUCUUUAUCAAUAAGAUGAAGUAAUGGAGGCAGGAGACAAGUGACAAUAAAAAACAGUCAUAAAAAAAGAACUGCAGAAACUAAGGUCUUAACCCAAAUUAGCAAAAGCAAAAUUGAAGCUCAAUUUUCAUUUUGGAAUAGCUCUACAAUUCCAUAAAUCUGCAAUUAAAGGUUUCUAGAUACCAAAGAGACACAAUGAAAGAGACAAAACAACAAAAAACACAUAAACACAGAUACAGAACUAGAGACUGCGACAGGUGGAGCACAUGACACAAUAGACUGACAGAGAAUAAAUCAAAAGAACAGAGAGGUGGACCAGAAAGAAAACAAGAAUUCAUGCUCUGUUUCACAGUAAUUUACGACUUCCCAAGCAGCCAGUUCUCCCAUCUCCCACUCUCCUUCCUUCCAGCUCCAUACAACUUACAUUAAAAGAUGCCAGGGCCUCAGAGACACUCUUCUCGAUGAACUCAUCAGUGAUUCUUCGGGAAGGAUGUUCAUUAAACACAGAAUUCAUUAGCGCAAUCUUUGCAGCACUCCUCCGGGCCUCAGCUUUUGUGGGGCAAAACUAGGCAGGGGAGAAAGAGUGAGAAUAUGUGUAUUUGUGCAUAUGAGAGAGAGGAAGGAACAGUGGGAGGGAAACACUUCAGAUAGAAAACACUUGGACGCUCUUUGGAUAAAUCAGUUGUGUUCAACACACUUUCCAAGGUUUUUAUGGUAAAGUGGUUGGGAUGUUUGGAAACAUAAUUUUGAUUCAACAUCCUGAAGUCAUUAAGGAACUGGGAGAGGGCUGUAGCUCAUACCAAACUGAAUGCAGAACGAGGAAGGCUGCUUAAGUCAGCAUAUAAUCACUGGUCAUGAAAAAUACCCGUUUAAACUGUCGACAGAAUUAGUUACUCAAAAGUCAGAUUCUGGCCGGCUUAAUAGAAAUCUGUAUCUUGUUCUGCGGACAGGUAAGGUUUUUUGGAUUCCUCUAGAUAACCCAAGAUUAGAACCAAAGCUGUGUCUAGGCUGCUUCUACAGAGGCCACUGGUCUCUAUCAGAAGCACCCAUCUUGGAAUCUCGGACUUCAUUUUUAGCUGUGAGCAGGCAUUUUCUCAAAUAACGUAGUGAGCCAAAGGAGCUAUCCCUGAGAAGGGUUUAAGUCUG
rnacentral:lncRNA from 1 species